rnacentral:rRNA from 1 species
UACGGGGGGGGCAAGCGUUGUUCGGAAUUACUGGGCGUAAAGGGCUCGUAGGCGGCCAACUAAGUCAGACGUGAAAUCCCUCGGCUUAACCGGGGAACUGCGUCUGAUACUGGAUGGCUAGAGUUUGGGAGAGGGAUGCGGAAUUCCAGGUGUAGCGGUGAAAUGCGUAGAUAUCUGGAGGAACACCGGUGGCGAAGGCGGCAUCCUGGACCAACACUGACGCUGAGGAGCGAAAGCCAGGGGAGCAAACGGG